CCAAUCCCACGCUUCCUGUCUGAGGUACUUCCGUAUUUACAAUCCUACACACAGCAAAGAGAGAAAUGAAGAAGAGGAAGAUGAUCACACCGUUUCUCGAGGCCAGACAUGGUUCCACACAUGCCCGUCUUCGGUUACUGGAGAGAAGACAAAAAAAAAUAAAAGAAACCAAAGAAAGGGGUUAACUUGUGAAUGGGCCAUUUAUGCGGUGUAGGGUUUAAACAAUGUGACCUUUUAAACACUGUAAGCAGCAGUGCUCCUGUGGAAACGGAGGGCUGAAAUCCCGGCGGGCUGAGUCUGAUUGGUUGUUCUGCCUGACGCCCAAUAAGAACGUCGCCCUCGCGGGAUCUGAAGAGUCUGCUACAGCAACACCUUGUGACACCUGCAGCUGCUGCGACACUUCACAGCCCCCACCCCCCCACCCGCCCCUGUGCGCCAACAGUUUUAUCGCAGAGACGGUGCGUCGUGAAUACAAAACGCAGGCCUGUUCCUUGUUUGGCAGACGCACCCAAAACCCUGAACUCAAAAUGUGGGGUGAACAGAGCGGGCAUCAUUUGCACCUCCAUCCCAUCCAAACUGUAAAUGAAUCAAAAUCCAAAUGGUGGUGUGA